UUUUAACCUAAAAUUAGAAAGCGUUAAGAUUCUAUUGGAAAACAACACACAGAGCUAUCAACAAAUAUAGGAUAAAUUACAACUAAAUCCCUGAGCUAUAGCAAGUCAGUUCCUGGUUUGUUUUAUGAUUUGCUCUUAAUUUGUCAAUGAAGUUUAUAUUUGAUAAUCAAAUAGUUACUCAAAAACAAAUUAGGGAUUGACUUGUGGAUUUUAUUAUACCUCAGGACUUGGUUGUAAUUUACCUAAAAAUAUAUUAUACAAAGACACACACUACUAUAGACAUUAAAGUUUCAUAGAACCAGUAAGUAACAUACAUAUACUUGUAUGGUAAGAUGUAGAGUGCAACCCAUACACGUAAAACAAAAUAACAAUAAGAACUCACAAGGACAUGAGUGCACGAAGAUCAUCUACUCUAACCUCAUGCGCUUUUGCCCCCCGCCUUCCAAAAGCUUCCUUUGCCAGCUUCUUCUUCCUUUCCUGCAUCUCUAAUAUCCUUUCCUCAAUGCUGUUUCGAGCAAUCAACCUUACAAUCGUUACCUCCUCCUUCUGUCCAAUUCUGUGGACACGGUCCAUAGCCUGUUCCUCAACUGCUGGGUUCCACCAUGGCUCCAACAAAUACACUUUAGAAGCGGCUGCAAGGUUUAUACCAGCUCCUGAAGCCUUGAGACUUGCAAGCAGAACGUUGGGUCCACCAGGUCCCGGCACUCCAAAUUCUUUUAUUACUUGAGCCCUCUUUUUUGCAUUCAUUGAUCCAUCUAAACGCAAGAUCUUGAAUCCUGCUGCUUUUAGUGGCUCCUCAAGUAAUACCAACAUCUUCUGGAAUUGAGAAAAAACAACCGACUUUGCAGUUGGAUCUUUAAUUCUCACAGCUAUGAGGAGUCUUAUGAGGGUAGAGACCUUGGAAGAGUCAGUUGACCUUGAAGAAGAAAUUUCAGUGUGAGAAGAUUCAGGAGGGGCUGAGAACAGGUCAGACAUUGUCAGAGAACGGCGACAAAGUGGACAGCAGGGCUUCAUACGCUGCAGGGUUUUCAGAAUGCAGGGUCGGCAAAAUAUGUGAGCACAGCGUGUAAUUACAGUAUCAGUUGGUGGACAAAUGCAGAUUGGGCAGUCAAAAUCUUCACCAUCUUGUAGCACAGCAACCACUUUUUCAAGCAACUCAGUGUUAUUGGAUACAUCUGCUUCAAUGCAUUUAGAAGGGAGAAGCGACCUCAGAUCUGAAGGGCACAAUGCCAGAUUAUUACAUAUCUGCCGAAGUCGUAAAAUGAUGCAAAGUAUAGUUGAAUAGUUGGUCGUUAGACUACCAGCAUUAAUAAAACCUUGGAUAACACCCUUGGCUUCCCCUUCCAUCUGGUCAUACAAUUCACGUUCUUCACCAGAAAGUUCAAUGUAGUGUGUCUCUACAGUUUUAGACGGCAAUCCAACCAAACCCUUGUCCUUUGUUCUCCGCAAAGAUAUUGUUGCCAUUAAAACCUGCAGUCGCGAGAGCCCCUUCUUAUCCCCCUGAGCAAGGGGCCGUUGAACCAGGCUUUGCCAAUAGUUCUUGAUGGAAAAUGGCUCAAACCGCAAAAAUGCCAUCAAGGAAAACAAAUCAAAGGAUCCAUUCUGUAUGGGUGUUCCUGUAACAACCCAUCUCCGCUUAGCCUUCAAAUUAGUAACUGCUCGACUUUGUUGUGCAUUUGCAUUCUUAAUGACAUGUGCCUCAUCCAAAAUGACUCUCCACCACUCAAUCAUCUUCACAGGGGAGUCUUCCCAAGAGCCUUCACUAGCCAAAGUACUAUAUGUUGUCAACACUAUAUCUUGCUUCUUAAGCUCCUCAGCUUCUCUAGUCCUUUCACCAUAAUACAUGUAUACCUUGAAUGAUCCACGUUGAGUAUGCUCUUCUAGCUGCGUUACCCAUGAUGAAAAUACAGCGGGAGGGCACACAAUUAAAGUCGUCUUUGCACCUAAAAUACUAAAAGACUUAUCAGUUCCACCCACAGACUUCCCUUUUGCAUUGAUAUCCAAAUGGGCGCCUUCCGUUUUAUGCUUUUUUCGUCCUCGAGUCCCCUUUGCACUCACCCUACGCCUCUUACCCUUCUUAUCGCUAAAAACAGUGGAUCCCUCAUCUAACUCACAUGUUCCUUCUCCAAUAUUGUCUCUAUCAAGGGUGGCACUAUUAUCAGCUCUAUCAAAAGCAAUCAAAGAGAGCAAAGUUAAAGUCUUGCCCAAUCCCAUGUCAUCUGCAAGAAUCCCACCACGCAAUGGCUCUGGCCUCUUAUCUGUAUGAUAAUUGGUCAAAACAUUUACAUAUUCCCCAUCUUUCUCCUCCCAAAAGGGUGGUAAUUCGCCAGAAUUCUCUCUAUUCAUAAGCCACCAUAAUCCCUCCUUUUGGUGAACAAAGAGCUCAGACUUAAUCAUCUCCUUGGGUGGCUCCAAAGUCCCAAUUUUUCCUUUCUUAUUCACAUUGUCAUCUACUAGCUUAAAUAUUUCGUCCACACUUUUAGAAUCACUUUUUUUGCACUUCUCUUUAACCACCAUAGCCUCUGAUAACCCAAAACUCGCAUCCGUUUCCGAAAUCAAAACCAAACCACCACGGAAAAUGGCGGAUUUUACGACCUCAAUAUCCUCAAACCUAGCAAAAAUAUGAAUUUGACAAGGAAUCCUAAACUUAUUACCACUACUACGCGAAUUGGCGACAACACCUUCGACAGUAAUUUUGUGAGAGUCGAUUAGUGGAGAAAGCACAGCGGCAACUGACCUUUCAAUGUGGCCCACUUGAAGGGAUCUUGUAUUGAGGACUUUGAUAGCGUUCUGAUCAUAAACAUUCAGUGGUUCACGGACCAAACCCACCAAUUCGCGACCAGUGAUCGUGCCAGAGUAGUAGCGGAUACCCACUAUAUUAGCGAUAACGAAGCCAACCAUGUAUGUUUCCGUGGAGGAUUGAGAAGAGGAGUCUUGCCAAUCAUCGAGAGACAUGAAGAGGGCAACUGGGUCUUGCUCUUCUUCAAAUUCCAUGAAAACGAGAGCGAGAGAGAGAGAGAGUUGAGCGUUGGGGUCGGUGUGCUGUGGGUUGAGAGAGAGA
rnacentral:misc_RNA from 1 species